rnacentral:pre_miRNA from 1 species
AACUUACUCCCUCCGUCCGAAAAUACUUGUCAUCAAAAUGGAUAAAAAGAGAUGUAUCUAGAACUAAAAUACGUCUAGAUACAUCCCUUUUUAUCCAUUUUGAUGACAAGUAUUUCCGGACGGAGGGAGUAGAAC